AUGCUUGAUCUCAAUGAGUUGCCUCCUGAUCUCAAUGAGCUUCCUCGUGAUACGGAUCAGCAGCAACCCAACAUACAACAAGGAAAAUGGACAGAAAAUGGUCGAUCUGUUUACUACACGCAUGCAAGUCAUGAUGGUAACCCUAUGGGCCAUGACAAUGUGGCAGGCCAGUCAUCAGACCGUGGUGCCCCUGUAGUGGUGUCUUUGCAGUCAGAGAGCCAUACUCUAGAUGACACGGGAACCGAGGCAAAUAUUCCUGGUCCAACCAGGACUGAGCUAGGAGCUGGGGCUGUUGACGGAGCUGUGCAAGAAGAAGAAGGAGAGGAUGGGGCUGGUUCUCAACCUAUGAAACCCUAUGUUGGCAUGAGGUUUGACAACCUUCAAAUUGCUAAGGAUCACUACAACAGCUACGCACUACGGAUGGGUUUCUCUAUCAAGAUGAACACAUCUAGACGGACACCCCGCACCAAUGAAUUGAUAAAACAACAGUUUUGCUGCAACAAGUUCAAGAAGCCCAAAGCUGAUGAUGGAGGAGCUGAGGCUCCUCCUGUCCUGGACCCUAUUCCAGAUCCAAAAUCUGUUGACAGUGAUGAGGAGAUGGAAGAAGAACCUCCAAUAUUUGUUGAAGAGGAGGCUGGUACUAGUAAGAAGAAGAAGAAGCACAAACGUGAGACAAUAAAGCAGACUCAGUGCAAAGCAAAAAUGUUGUUGAAGCUGAUAGAUGGGCGAUGGGAGGUGACGCACUUUGUUCGUGACCACAAUCAUCCGCUCAUGAACAAACCUUCAUUGUCCAAAUACUUGAGAUCCCACCAAGGCAUCUCACCUGAUGAAAAGGAGUUUCUGCGCAUCUUGUAUAACUGCAACUUGACUACAGGACGUAUGAUGCAUGUAAUGGCAGAGUUCUAUGGAUCUGAGAUGAUGGUGCCAUUCGUACCAAAGGCAAUAACAAAUCUUUGUACAAGUUUCCGUAGAGAUGACACAAAGGAGGGUGAUCUGAUUGAGACAAUUGUGCACUUCAAGGACAUACAAAAAACCGAUCCAGACUUCUUCUAUAAGGUGAAAUAUGAUGAAGAGGACAGAGUUGUCAACAUAUUUUGGGUGGAUGGCUUAGCUCGAAAAGCUUAUGCGGAGGCGUACCACGAUUGUAUAUCGUUUGACACCACCUACAUGACCAACAUGUACAAUAUGCCGUUUGCGCCCUUCAUAGGAAUAAACCGACAUGGCCAAUCUUUCAUGCUGGGUUGCACGUUUGUGAGGCAGGAGUUGGCAUCGAGCUUUGAUUGGGUCUUUGGAGCAUUCCUAGAGGCUAUGGAUGGCAAACCUCCUGACAACUUCAUCACCGAUCAGGAUGGUGCAAUGAGGCAGUCAAUACAGAGCAUCUUUCCAACCACAGUGCACCGCUGUUGUCGAUGGCACAUCAUGAAAAAGGCUCAGGAAAAAGUUGGUUGGCUGCUGUGCCGGAAUCCAGGACUCUCUGAUGAUUUCAACAAGCGUGUUGAAUUCAGCUUCACUAUAGACAAGUUUGAGCAGAAUUGGGCUGGGUUAAUGGUGAAGUACGAGGCUAUGACACACAUGCACUUUGAGAAGUUGUACGAAUACAGGUCAACUUGGGUGCCGUGCUACUUCAAACACAUGUUCUUCCCGUUCCUACAGUCUACACAGCGUAGUCAGGGGUUCAACGCCGUCCUGAAAAGAUAUGUGAACCCAGACAACUCAAUGCUGAACUUCGUCAAGCAAUAUGAAAAAAAAUCCAGAACCACAUCCUUGCCAAGGAAGGCUGCAAUGAUUACAGGACAGAACACCUUGAGAUUGAGCUGUGGUCCAAUAGAGAAGCAAGCUUACAAAACCUAUACUAGGGACCUUUACCGCAAGUUCAGAGAAGAGUUUGAGCUGAUUGGACGUUAUAAUGCAUUCCAAGUUGGUGCAGAUAUAUUUGAGCUCAGACCGAACCAGGAAUUUGUUGCCAAAUAUGGUUCUCGAAACUACUUGGUGCAGGCAAGGGUGGAGGAGGGUUCCUAUUUGUGUGAGUGCUGUAAAAUGGACAAGGACGGCAUCCUCUGUUGCCACAUCCUCAAGGUGUUCACCCAUAUUGGAGUUGAUGUCAUACUGGAAAGGUACCUGCUAAGACGGUGGACACCUACUGCUGUACCUAGUGCGCCAGGGACUGGUUAUGAGCAACCGGAUGAAAUGCCUCCUCAAUCAAAGAAGCAGAUAAGGGAGAGGAACAUGAUAUACGGUUUUUGGAAACUAGCAAAGUUUGCGAGUGGUUCUGAUCUAGCACAAGCUAUUGUAUACAAGCAUAUGCGCGCAGCACGUACCGAGAUCGGCCACCUGAACAAGUCCAAGAAAAAAAACCGACUGCUGCCACGGGGCCAUCAGAUGAUGGCAACCCUCGAGGACCUCCUCCACCUCCAAGCAGCAAUUAGGGGCUCGUUAUCCAGGUGA
rnacentral:rRNA from 1 species